CAGUAGCCGCGGUAAUACGUAGGUCCCGAGCGUUGUCCGGAUUUAUUGGGCGUAAAGCGAGCGCAGGCGGUUAGAUAAGUCUGAAGUUAAAGGCUGUGGCUUAACCAUAGUACGCUUUGGAAACUGUUUAACUUGAGUGCAAGAGGGGAGAGUGGAAUUCCAUGCGUAGCGGUGAAAUGCGUAGAUAUAUGGAGGAACACCGGUGGCGAAAGCGGCUCUCUGGUCUGUCACUGACGCUGAGGCUCGAAAGCGUGGGUAGCGAAUAGGAUUAGAUACCCCGGUAGUCCCUGUCUCUUAUACA
rnacentral:rRNA from 1 species